GAUGAACGCUGGCGGCGUGCCUAAUACAUGCAAGUCGAACGCGCAGCGAGAGGUGCUUGCACCUUUCAAGCGAGUGGCGAACGGGUGAGUAACACGUGGAUAACCUGCCUCAAGGCUGGGGAUAACAUUUGGAAACAGAUGCUAAUACCGAAUAAAACUUAGUAUCGCAUGAUACAAAGUUGAAAGGCGCUACGGCGUCACCUAGAGAUGGGUCCGCGGUGCAUUAGUUAGUUGGUGGGGUAAAGGCCUACCAAGACAAUGAUGCAUAGCCGAGUUGAGGGCCUGAUCGGCCAAAUUGGGACGGGGACACGGCCCAAACUCCUACGGGAGUCUGCAGUAGGGAAUCUUCCACAAUGGGCGAAGGCCUGAUGGAGCAACGCCGCGUGUGUGAUGAAGGCGUUAGGGUCGUAAAGCACUGUUGUAUGGGAAGAAAUGCUAGAAUAGGGAAUGAUUCUAGUUCGACGGUACCAUACCAGAAAGGGACGGCUAAAUACGUGCCAGCAGCCGCCGUAA
rnacentral:rRNA from 1 species